AAAAACACAACAAACCCCACACGGCCCACUCCAGCUCCGGAGCACCCGUGCUGGGCUGCAUGGGGACUGGCCGGAGGGGCAGGGCCAGGGGAGGGGGUAGGCAGAGCUUCAGGAGGAGAUGAGGUGAAAGUAAUUGACGCUGCCCAGCCCGGCAGUGGGAGAGGCAGGGGAUGCGUCAGUGUCGUGCUGGAGCUGGCAGAGGUGUGAAUGAGCGGCGGAGACACGCGGGCUGCGAUCGCUCGCCCCGGGAUGGCCGCGGCUCAUGGACCUGUGGGCCCCUCUUCCCCAGAACAGACAACAAUGCUGAGAUACCAAGAGUGGAAGUGGCUUGCCCAGGGCUCUACUGGAGGGGCGGGCCCUAGCACCAGGGCUCUCACCUGCACCGGUGUCCUGCCUCUGCCAAGCCCAGGGCAGAGUGGGAGAUCUGGAUUCUGCCCUCGGAGCUGAGCAGCCUUAAUUCCAGGGGCUCAGCCAGAGCAGUAAAUAAGCCGAGCAGAGGGCUGCGU
rnacentral:sRNA from 1 species